rnacentral:rRNA from 1 species
UACGGAGGGUGCGAGCGUUAAUCGGAAUUACUGGGCGUAAAGCGCGCGUAGGCGGUUUGAUAAGCAGGAUGUGAAAGCCCCGGGCUCAACCUGGGAAUGGCAUCCUGAACUGUCUGACUGGAGUAUGGUAGAGGGGUGUGGAAUUUCCGGUGUAGCGGUGAAAUGCGUAGAUAUCGGAAGGAACACCAGUGGCGAAGGCGACACCCUGGACCAAUACUGACGCUGAGGUGCGAAAGCGUGGGGAGCAAACAGG